UUACCAGAAGGAAUGAAGGCUAUUGACAGACUCCCCAGAGCAGAAGCCACGUGAAGAGGAAGUUCACUGACUUGGAGACUCUUGCGCCACCUGCUGGUUGCUGGGAGGAGAGAAGCCUGGACCUGCCUGGUCUCUUGGGGGCUGAGCAGGAUGAUGAUAGUAGGCUCCCUGACCUAAGAAGAACCACACCUGGGAACUAACAUCCACCUGAUCAUGGAUAGGAAAAUCCAGAGAACUUGCUGUAAAGCAGUGCCAACCACACAGCAAGUGCUACUUCAGUUACAGUUUUCCAGUUGUCCCUUACAGCUCGGCCAUGAAGUGGUGGGCAUAGUUUCAGUGAAUUCAAACUGGAUUCUAGAACGUAUUUUGAAUCUAGAGUAAAUGAAGCUUCUUUUAUAGCCGUGGAAGAAUGGCCUUCUGGCCACAGGAUGCUGGCAUAGCACAUCUGCUUCACUGGGCCGAACGGUAUCUGUGCCUUUUUCUAAUCUCAACCUUACCUGAUGGCUGGAGAGAGUUCACCUCCUUUUACGUUUUUCUUGCAUUGAAGAUUAUUGUUUUCACCCUCUAAAAGGAAUGUAAUGAUAUAGACUUGUCCUGCAUUAGCACCACCACACAGUUGGAGAGAAAUCUGCUCACUGGGCACGCAGCCAGGGACUGUUGGGAUGAUUGUCUCUGACCCAGGGCUCUAGGAGGCACAAUCACCACAGAUUAAUCAGGGCACUUUUUAUCAGUGUGCCUUCAUCUGCCAAGUAACUAUAAACUCUUCAAGACUAAGGCUCUACUUCAUCUCAACAACAAAAGUAAAAGAC
rnacentral:lncRNA from 1 species